GUAGCAGUUUGAGUCCGGGACUCUCCCCAGGGCCAUCUGGGGCUACCCGGGACGCUACAGCCGCAGAAGACACUACUGGUGUCCCUGAUGUUUGGUCAUUUUCAAUGCCAAUAACUAAGCUACAAAGGUUCUCCCACACCUGGAAGCUGAUGAGUAAUGAGCACUAUUAAGGCUUAUUUCAAAUGUAAAAAACCUUGAGAUAAUGUACUAAAUUGUUCAGAAGGCUGUUUUCUUAGUUGAAUGCUACAGGAUUUUCUUUAGCCAUCCGGAGUUCCUGCCUUCAUCCCAGUGCCAAUAAAGACCAAGGUGGAAGAAUUUCCAGUGUUGCUGAAAACCGGAGGAGACUUCGGCUGAGAACCAGACGAGACUUCGGAUCAAGCUAGCUGCCUGCAGAACUUACCUGGACUGUGAUUUAAGCUAGCUGCCUGCAGAACUUACCUGGACUGUGAUUUAAGCUAGCUGCCUGCAGAACUUACCUGGACUGUGAUUUAAGCUAGCUGCCUGCAGAACUUACCUGGACUGUGAGUUAAUCUAUUUGAGACACUGCUUUACCUGGACUGAGACAACAAACUGUAAUCUAUAACAAAUUGUAACUUGGUAUCUUUGCUAACAGUGUCAUUGCUGGUAUAAUUUUUCCAAGGGCUUCUUGCAUGGAGCCAUCAAUUGGCUUGGUAUUGUGGCAUUUUGUAUCCUCCCUUUCUGUUUGUAGCAGGUUAUUUAUGGUGUUUCUGCAAAAACCACUAUGGUUGUUAUUUAAAUUAAACAAAAGGGGGAAAUGUUAG
rnacentral:lncRNA from 1 species